CCUACGGGAGGCAGCAGUGGGGAAUUUUGGACAAUGGGCGCAAGCCUGAUCCAGCCAUGCCGCGUGUGGGAAGAAGGCCUUCGGGUUGUAAACCACUUUUGUCAGGGAAGAAACGGCUUUUUCUAAUACAGAGAGCUAAUGACGGUACCUGAAGAAUAAGCACCGGCUAACUACGUGCCAGCAGCCGCGGUAAUACGUAGGGUGCAAGCGUUAAUCGGAAUUACUGGGCGUAAAGCGUGCGCAGGCGGCUUUGCAAGACAGAUGUGAAAUCCCCGGGCUCAACCUGGGAACUGCAUUUGUGACUGCAUGGCUAGAGUACGGUAGAGGGGGAUGGAAUUCCGCGUGUAGCAGUGAAAUGCGUAGAUAUGCGGAGGAACACCGAUGGCGAAGGCAAUCCCCUGGACCUGUACUGACGCUCAUGCACGAAAGCGUGGGGAGCAAACAGGAUUAGAUACCCUGGUAGUCCACGCCCUAAACGAUGUACAACUGGUUAGUUGGACGGCUUGCUGUUCAGUAACGAAGCUAACGCGUAGAAGUUGACCGCCGUGGGGAGUACGGCCGCGAGGUUAGAAACGUCGAAAGAAGUUGACG
rnacentral:rRNA from 1 species